GUGGGGAAUAUUGCACAAUGGGCGAAAGCCUGAUGCAGCAACGCCGCGUGAGGGACGACGGCCUUCGGGUUGUAAACCUCUUUUAGUAGGGAAGAAGCGAAAGUGACGGUACCUGCAGAAAAAGCACCGGCUAACUACGUGCCAGCAGCCGCGGUAAUACGUAGGGUGCAAGCGUUAUCCGGAAUUAUUGGGCGUAAAGAGCUCGUAGGCGGUCUGUCGCGUCUGCUGCGAAAACUGGAGGCUCAACCUCCAGCCUGCAGUGGGUACGGGCAGACUAGAGUGCGGUAGGGGAGAUUGGAAUUCCUGGUGUAGCGGUGGAAUGCGCAGAUAUCAGGAGGAACACCGAUGGCGAAGGCAGAUCUCUGGGCCGUAACUGACGCUGAGGAGCGAAAGCGUGGGGAGCGAACAGGAUUAGAUACCCGGGUAGUCC
rnacentral:rRNA from 1 species